rnacentral:lncRNA from 1 species
GACACAAUACGCAUUGUGCUUGUGACUUCACCUAAUACUGCACUGACUCUUCAAAAGACAAUCAACCGAGGUAGCAACCUAGAGAAACUAGGAGGUCUGUCUCUUAUAGGAAGUGAAUUCAUCAGUAAAUAGCUGAAGUUAGAGUUGAGCAAACAUUUUUGUGUUUGUAACAGCUUGAAGCAUAAGACCAAAUAUGGUAGCUGCUGUUUAACUAAAAACCACCUUAUGGUCCAGCUGUGUGCAUGGGUGGUGUUUCAGGGAAUCCAGACUUAUUUAUUUGUUACUAUCUGUGGGUGUUCUCAUAAAUGAGAUAAUCUUAAGUGGGCCUCCAGACUUAAUAAAAGAAUGAUCCAAUGUCAAGAAAUUUGUUUUUUAUUGUAAAUAUGUGUAAUUUCAGAAAACCUUACUGUUGAUUCUUAGUGGCUCUACAAGAUGAUUCUUAUUUUACAUUGAAGCGAUCAAAAGCUAAUUGUAGUGUUUUUCUUUGAGUAUGCAGCAGUUGCAGCUUUAAAAUCUCUUCUCUGGCCUCUGUUUUUACUGACCUACGAAAAAUUUUUUAAAAAGAAGAAAACACCUCUAUGGUGUUUUAAAUUUUUUGUGCAGAAAAAGCUAAGCAGAAAUUUAUUUUGUAAAUUCACUGUCAACUUAUUAAAGUUAGAAUCUGAAAACUUACUGUGUUUUAUCUUAUAAAUUUUUUUCUGUCUAUAAGUUUAGCAAUUUUCAGGAAACUAUGAAUAAUCGGUUGGUUCCAUUUACAAAAUUGGUUUAAAAAUCCCUUAUAUUUUUAUUCUUUCAUACUCUUCCUGUCUUCUAAGGGCCACAAUUUUGAAUUAUUAAAACAAUAUCCUGUUGAAUUCUA